GUUGUAUGGUUAAGUGACUAAGCGUACACGGUGGAUGCCUUGGCAGUCAGAGGCGAUGAAAGACGUAGUAACUUGCGAUAAGCCCAGAUUAGGUAGUAACAACCAUUUGAGUCUGGGAUUUCUGAAUGGGGAAACCCACUUACAUAAGUAAGUAUCGUUAUGUGAAUACAUAGCAUAACGAGGCGAACCGGGGGAACUGAAACAUCUAAGUACCCCGAGGAAAA
rnacentral:rRNA from 1 species